GAAAUUAUAAAGAAAUGUAUUUUAUUAUAAUUGAAUGUAGCUCAGUAUAUCAAUGAGCUAAAUUACACAGCUUUAAAUAAGUAGAAAAACAACCAUAGUAGCAAAUAAACAGGAGAAAAUAACUGAACUAACUUAGGCAAUCAAACUCAUCACUCGCAGAAUCAUAACCACUUAGACACAUUCAAAGUAAAACAUAUUUACAAAAAUACACCUUAUCACUCCAAUGCUCUAGCACACGGCAAUCACCUUAUUACUCCAGAGGGAUGAACACAUCCUUAUAACUCCUUCAGCUAUUAUCCCCCCUCAAACUUUGUAAGGGCUGAAGACAAAGUUUGUGUCGAAAUUGAGCCAGGCGAGCUUUAGUCAUUGACUUAGUAAAUAUGUCAGCCAGUUGGAAAGUGGACGGAAUGUGCUUAGUGAUUAAGACCCCUUGAGCAACUUGUUCUCUCACAUAAUGAUAGUCCAAAGCUAUGUGUUUGCUACGGGCAUGAAGAACCGGAUUAAUAGUCAAAUAUAAAGCACUUAAGUUAUCACCAUAAAGUAUAGGUGGAUUACGUUGAGGAACUCGUAAAUCAUCCAACAGAUAUCCUAACCAAGUUAGCUCUGCGGCGGCAUGAGCCAUAGCUCGAUACUCUGCCUCGGUGCUGGAACGGGCAACAGUAGUCUGUUUCUUGACACACCAAGAAACAAUAUUAGACCCUAGAAAAGUGCAGUAACCAGUUGUGGAACGUCUUGUCAUCUGACAGCCGGCCCAGUCUGCAUCAGAAAAAGCAGAAAGAGCAAGUGACGUAUCUGCUGUAAGAGAAAGACCUAAGUCAAGAGUGCCUUUUAAAUAACGUAAAAUACGGCGAACAUAUUUGAGGUGGGACAUGUGAGGAGAGUGCAUAAAUUGGGAAACAUAAUUAACACUAAAAGAAAGGUCUGGACGGGUAAGCGUGAGAUACUGCAAUGACCCUGCAAGCACACGAAAAUAACUUGGAUCAUCAAUAGGUGUGUCAACGGAUGUAGACACCGAUUUUUGGACCAAUGGCGUGGGCAUAGGCUGGCAUUCUAGCAUUUGAGCACGCUCCAAAAUGGAAUAGGCAUAAUGAGUCUGGGAUAAAUGAAGUCCAGUGGUUGUGGAUUGAACCUGAAUGCCCAAGAAGUGAUGUAAAGGACCAAGAUCUUUCAUAGAAAAUUCUGAAUUUAAAACCUGCAAAAAUGACUGAACAAGAGUAUUGGAAGAGCCUGUAAGAAGCAUAUCGUCAACAUAAAUUAGAAGAAUUAAAGUACCAACUGCCGAAUGGAAAACAAAUAGAGAAGGAUAUGCAAGACUACAAUAAAACCCAUAUUUCAGUAAAAAAACACUCAGUCUAUCAAACCAGGCACGCGGCGCCUGUUUCAAUCCAUAAAGAGCUCGUUGGAGCUUACAAACAUAGGAAGGAUUAUUAGAAUCAAUCAUUCCUGGUGGCUGUUCCAUAUAAAUAUUCUCAGAAAUAAAUCCAUGCAAGAAAGCAUUUUUCACAUCUAACUGACGAAUAGGCCAAUGCCUGACCAACGCAACAGUUAAAACCAAACGAAUUGUGCCCGGUUUAAUAACAGGUGAAAACGUUUCAGUGUAAUCUACACCGUCUAGUUGAUGAAACCCUUUAGCAACAAGACGGGCCUUUAACCUAUCUAAAGUGCCAUCUGGUUUCAACUUAGCUUUAUACACCCAUUUACACCCUAUAACAUGCAAAUCAGAUGUACGGGGAACCAAAGUCCAAGUCUUAUUUCUAGUCAAGGCAUUAAAUUCAUCAAGCAUAGCAUUUUUCCAACCAUUAUGAGCAAGAGCAUGUUUAACAUUUUUUGGUUCAGGCGGAAUAACAGAAGACAUAGUAACAUUCAAAGCAUAUCAUGGAUUGGGUUUAACAAUACCUGAUUUUGAACGAGUAAUCAUAGAAUGAUUAGGUGCUAUAUCCUCAACAUGCUCCUCAGGUACAUUAAUUUCAGCUAAAGAAGAAUUACCUGCUCCUGCACUAACCGAAUCACCUAUGUGUAGAACCUCUAAAGACUGCUCCUGUUGUGCACUAGAUUCAAUCAUGUGCUGAUCCGUGAUGGGUUGAUCAUGGAGCAACGGAGCGGCAACAGGAAGCUCCUCUGGUUCCUGGUCUUGAAUCAACUCGGCUUCUGGUUGUGCUGCAAAUACCUCAACUGCAGAAAACUGAUCGGCUAGUACAUCUGAAGUAUAAGACAGAACGUGUUCUGUUAAUUGGUGUUGAGACGUUGUAGAUGAACCAGCUUCCUGAGCUGCUGCUGGUACAACAACAUUUUGGUCCGUUUGCAAGGGCUGUCCAGCAGACACAGCAGUGGUUGUUUGUUGAGCAGCUAGUGGGUCAGCUGGUGACUGUAACACUACUGCUGACUGUGUGCCUGCUGCUGGCGGGGGCAGCACAUCAGACUCUUCUUCACACGGCAAAAUACCUGCUACAUUAACAGCUGAAAUAAAUGGUGCACAUUCCUGUAAACGAAGAGAAGAAUCAGUUACAUUAGUUUGGGUAUUUAAACCAGAACAAUCAGGUAGCCAAGAAUUCAUAAUUUUAAGAGCAAAGGAUUUAUCAAAAGAUGACGACUUGAAAGGAAAAACUGCCUCAUCAAAACUUACAUGACGGCUUAUGAUAAAUUUUUUAGUUCUAGGGUUAAAGCAUUUAUAACCUUUGUGUUUUUCACUGUAACCAACAAAAACACAUGAGCAAGAUUUUGGAUCAAACUUAUGACUUCUAGAAUCCCAAAUGUAUGGAAAGCACUUCGAACCAAAGACCCGUAAUGAACUAUAAUCAAAAUGGAAUUCAUGUAGCAUAUAAAAUGGUGUCUCAUUGCCCAACACAGUAGUAGGUAACCUAUUCAAAAGAAAGACAGCAGCCUGAAAAGCCUCUACCCACAUACAUAACGGCAUAUGGCUAUGGUACAUCAUAGUUAAACCUAGUUCACGUAUUACUCGAUGUCGCCGUUCAACGGCACCUGUUUGUUCAGGAGUAUAUGGACAUGAAAUGUGAUGUUUUAUGCCAUGUGCAAGAAAAUGAGAAGACAAAGCAUUAUUAACAAACUCACCUCCUCCAUCGGAAUGAAAAACUUUAAUUCGCUUCCCAAAUUGUCGAAAUAUAAAUUGUUCAAAUGCUAAAUAAGUAACAAAGAAAUCAGAUUUCUUCUUUAAAGGAACUAUCCAAGAAUAUUUUGAAAAGUCAUCAACAAAACAUGCAUAAAACUUAAACUUAGAAAAAGAAAUUACAGGGGCUGAUCCCCAUAGAUCACAAUGAAUCUUAUCAAAACUAGAUGAACUAGUAUGUUCUGAAGAAUUAAAAGGAAACUUACUCAAUUUGCCUAACUGACAACUAUCACACAAAAACUUAGAUUGCAAUGAACCUUUUACAUCAACUAGAUUUUUAUUAAAUAAAACUGAAACUGCAGAAGCUUGUGGGUGUCCUAAUCGUUGAUGCCAAAUCUCAGCGGUACCAGUCCUAAACCGAUUCGAGAAAUAAGCUGUAGGUACUCCAGACAACGUAUACAAAUUAUGCCUCCUUGGUCCUGUUAAGAGCACCUGUCCCAUUUCCUGAUCCUUUACAUUAACAGACACGUUAGAGAAUUCACAGUUUACAGGAUAUUCAUCAGUCAGUUGGCUAAUGGAUAACAAGUUCUGUUUUAAAUCAGGAACAGAUAACACAUUAGAGAUAGGCAAAUUAUAUUUUUGGUUUAAACAGGCUGUACCUACACCAUCAAUUGGCAGGAAGGUACCAUCCCCUAUCGUAAUCGAAUCAGGUCCAUUAUACUUAUCAAUAUUUUUUAGAAGAAGUUUGUUACCUGUCAUGUGAUCAGACGCGCACGAAUCAGCUACCCAGUCCGUUUCCACGACUCCAUUGUUAAGCUUGAGAGCUGCAAGGGCUUGUGGAGGAUCUUCACGUUGUGCUUUAGAUAUCCACCAGCAGAUUUUGGCUAUAUGCCCCUUUUUGCCACAGUAUUGGCAAAUUUCAUCCUUAUAAAGUUUCCGUUCAGUGGGAGUCAUUCUUCGCUGACCAGGUGGUGGAGGGCGACGUUGAGAGGAGUAUGAUCCUCUGUUCUGACCCUGUCCUCGAGUUUGUUGGGCCUGAAACCCCCGUCCAUGAGAAUCGAAAUUGUUGCGUCGAUUCGAACUGGAAUUGGCUUGUUUCUGUUGAUUACCAUAAAAGGCAACAUGCGCGAUCUGGUCAAGCGCAGAAUCCGACUGAUUGGAGAACCAACUUCGCCUCUGAUCCAGAUUUUUUAAUUGGGAAACCAGCUCGUUGUAACUUGGCCGUGGUGGUUUGAGCAUGGUGGUGGUGAAGGUCUCAUAUUGCGGACCUAAACUUGUGAGAAGACAGAAGAUCUUUUCAUCGUCUGGAACUUUCUUCCCGAUUGCAGCCAGAUUAUCACAAAUCUCCUUAAACAAGCGUAAGUGCUCUGUGAUUGUCUUAUUUUCAUCUUUUCGAAAAUAAGUUAGCUGUUGGCGUAGGGUAAAUACCCUUUCUUGUGAAUCUUGUGCAUAGGCCUCUUUUAAUGCACUCCAAACAGCACACACAGUUUCUAGCCCAAUGACAAGUCCCAGAGAUUCUUCGCUAAGGGUUCCGUAGAUCCACCCUCGAAGCAAUCGGUCGGACUUUUGCCAUGUUUGAAAUUCAUUUGACUGCUGUGGUUGAUAAUUUUCUAGAAUUGGUGUUGGAGGAGGAGUGAAUUUCUGAUCUGCUGGAAAUUCCGCCACUAAAUGAUCGGAUAAUUCUUGACUCUCAGCUAAACUCAACACAUGUUCUCUCCAAAGUUGGUAAUUGGUUUGUUUCAGCUUUAGUGUAACGAAAUUCGCUACAUUCAAGGUAGAAGAAGUCAUGGUGAGUGGACAGAAAGAAAAGAAAAAAAGAGCGAUACUUUUGCUCUUUCUGGCUCUGAUACCAAAAGGAAAUUAUUAAGAAAUGUAUUUUAUUAUAAUUGAAUGUAGCUCAGUAUAUCAAUGAGCUAAAUUACACAGCUUUAAAUAAGUAGAAAAACAACCAUAGUAGCAAAUAAACAGGAGAAAAUAACUGAACUAACUUAGGCAAUCAAACUCAUCACUCGCAGAAUCAUAACCACUUAGACACAUUCAAAGUAAAACAUAUUUACAAAAAUACACCUUAUCACUCCAAUGCUCUAGCACACGGCAAUCACCUUAUUACUCCAGAGGGAUGAACACAUCCUUAUAACUCCUUAAGCUAUUAAAG
rnacentral:lncRNA from 1 species